UUAAGUGAAUAAGGGCGCACGGUGGAUGCCUUGGCACUAGGAGCCGAUGAAGGACGGGACUAACACCGAUAUGCUUUGGGGAGCUGUACGUAAGCUAUGAUCCAGAGAUUUCCGAAUGGGGGAACCCAACAUCUUUAAUAGGAUGUUACGAUUGUGUGAAUACAUAGCACAUUCGAGGUAGACGCAGAGAACUGAAACAUCUAAGUACCUGCAGGAAGAGAAAGAAAAUUCGAUUCCCUGAGUAGCGGCGAGCGAAACGGGAAAAGCCCAAACCAGCAAGCUUGCUUGUUGGGGUUGUAGGACUCCAAUAUGGUAGUUCUUUCAGAUAGUCGAAUGACUUGGAAAAGUCAGUCAAAGAGGGUAAAAACCCCGUAGACGAAAUGUGGAAGACACCUAGGAGGAUCCUGAGUACGGCGGAACACGAGAAAUUCCGUCGGAAUCCGGGAGGACCAUCUCCCAAGGCUAAAUACUCCCUAGUGACCGAUAGUGAACCAGUACCGUGAGGGAAAGGUGAAAAGCACCCCGGAAGGGGAGUGAAAUAGAACCUGAAACCGUGUGCCUACAACAAGUCAAAGCCCGUUAAUGGGUGAUGGCGUGCCUUUUGUAGAAUGAACCGGCGAGUUACGAUUGCAUGCGAGGUUAAGUUGAAGAGACGGAGCCGCAGCGAAAGCGAGUCUGAAUAGGGCGUUUGAGUAUGUAGUCGUAGACCCGAAACCAUGUGAUCUACCCAUGUCCAGGUUGAAGGUGCGGUAAAACGCACUGGAGGACCGAACCCACGUACGUUGAAAAGUGCGGGGAUGAGGUGUGGGUAGCGGAGAAAUUCCAAACGAACUUGGAGAUAGCUGGUUCUCUCCGAAAUAGCUUUAGGGCUAGCCUCGGAAUUGAGAAUGAUGGAGGUAGAGCACUGUUUGGACUAGGGGCCCAUCUCGGGUUACCGAAUUCAGAUAAACUCCGAAUGCCAUUCAUUCAUAUCCGGGAGUCAGACUGUGAGUGAUAAGAUCCAUAGUCGAAAGGGAAACAGCCCAGACCACCAGCUAAGGUCCCAAAAUAUAUGUUAAGUGGAAAAGGAUGUGGGGUUGCACAGACAACUAGGAUGUUGGCUUAGAAGCAGCCAUCAUUUAAAGAGUGCGUAAUAGCUCACUAGUCGAGUGACCCUGCGCCGAAAAUGUACCGGGGCUAAACAUAUUACCGAAGCUGUGGAGUACACCUUUAGGUGUAUUGGUAGGAGAGCGUUCUAAGGGCGUUGAAGGCAGAUCGUGAGGACUGCUGGAGCGCUUAGAAGUGAGAAUGCCGGUAUGAGUAGCGGAAGACAGGUGAGAAUCCUGUCCACCGAAUGACUAAGGUUUCCUGGGGAAGGCUCGUCCGCCCAGGGUUAGUCGGGACCUAAGCCGAGGCCGACAGGCGUAGGCGAUGGAUAACAGGUUGAUAUUCCUGUACCCGUUGUUUUUGUUUGAGCAAUGGAGGGACGCAGGAGGCUAAGGAAUGCAGACGAUCGGAAAUGUCUGUCCAAGCAGUAAGUCUGAAGAGGAGUCAAAUGCUUCUUUUCUUAAGGACAAGCUGUGAUGGGGAGGGAAAUAAUAGUACCGAAGUUCCUGAUGUCACACUGCCGAGAAAAGCUUCUAGUGAGAAAACAGCGGCCCGUACCGCAAACCGACACAGGUAGUCGAGGAGAGAAUCCUAAGGUGAGCGAGAGAACUCUCGUUAAGGAACUCGGCAAAAUGACCCCGUAACUUCGGGAGAAGGGGUGCUGAUCAUACGAUCAGCCGCAGUGAAUAGGCCCAAGCGACUGUUUAUCAAAAACACAGGUCUCUGCAAAAUCGUAAGAUGAAGUAUAGGGGCUGACGCCUGCCCGGUGCUGGAAGGUUAAGAGGAGUGCUUAGCGCAAGCGAAGGUACGAAUUGAAGCCCCAGUAAACGGCGGCCGUAACUAUAACGGUCCUAAGGUAGCGAAAUUCCUUGUCGGGUAAGUUCCGACCCGCACGAAAGGCGUAACGAUUUGGGCACUGUCUCAACGAGAGACUCGGUGAAAUUUUAGUACCUGUGAAGAUGCAGGUUACCCGCGACAGGACGGAAAGACCCCAUGGAGCUUUACUGUAGUUUGAUAUUGAGUGUCUGUACCGCAUGUACAGGAUAGGUAGGAGCCGUAGAAAUCGGAACGCUAGUUUCGAUGGAGGCGCUGGUGGGAUACUACCCCUGCGUUAUGGCCACUCUAACCCGCACCACUAAUCGUGGUGGGAGACAGUGUCAGAUGGGCAGUUUGACUGGGGCGGUCGCCUCCUAAAAGGUAACGGAGGCGCCCAAAGGUUCCCUCAGAAUGGUUGGAAAUCAUUCGAAGAGUGUAAAGGCAGAAGGGAGCUUGACUGCGAGACCAACAAGUCGAGCAGGGACGAAAGUCGGGCUUAGUGAUCCGGUGGUUCCGCAUGGAAGGGCCAUCGCUCAACGGAUAAAAGCUACCCUGGGGAUAACAGGCUUAUCUCCCCCAAGAGUCCACAUCGACGGGGAGGUUUGGCACCUCGAUGUCGGCUCGUCGCAUCCUGGGGCUGUAGUCGGUCCCAAGGGUUGGGCUGUUCGCCCAUUAAAGCGGCACGCGAGCUGGGUUCAGAACGUCGUGAGACAGUUCGGUCCCUAUCCGUCGCGGGCGUUGGAAAUUUGAGAGGAGCUGUCCUUAGUACGAGAGGACCGGGAUGGACUUACCGCUGGUGUACCAGUUGUUCUGCCAAGGGCAUUGCUGGGUAGCUAUGUAGGGAAGGGAUAAACGCUGAAAGCAUCUAAGUGUGAAGCCCACCUCAAGAUGAGAUUUCCCAUUUCUUUAAGAAAGUAAGAUCCCUGAGAGAUGAUCAGGUAGAUAGGUCAGGAGUGGAAGUACAGUGAUGUAUGGAGCGGACUGAUACUAAUCGAUCGAGGACUUAACCAA
rnacentral:rRNA from 1 species